CGCGCGGUGACGUCACCGCAUCUUUAUAAAGGGCCGCCUUGGGGCGCGAAAAGUUCGUGAGGUGUAGUCGCGGCAACCAGGAGGUGCACCCACCACUAGAAUUUGAACAUCCUAAGAACAGGUAUUUUUGUCUCUGCUUUGCUGAUGUAUCCUCAGCAACCGGAACUGCCUGACAUCUGAUCCUUUCUGUGAGACACCAGGCUGUUGAGGAAGAAUCUAUGGCAACAUUGUAUCUAUUAAUAUACAGCUUCUGUAUUUAUCAGGCCCAGUUCUGGUGAUGAUUUCACUUUUGACAGAAGCUGUCCCUCAAAAGCAAACAUGCAAUAGAAGAAACAGAUCUCAAUGCCAUCCAUCUGCAGUUGUGACAAGCAAAAAAGUCUCCAGACAUGGCCAAAUGUCCCCUGGGGGGCAAAAUCACCCCCAAUUGAGAACUACUGCUCUAAACUCUUGAAAUUAGGUUUGUAGGUACCAAAAGCAGAGCCUCAGAAGAGGGUGAACUGAUGACAGCAACUUCUACUGAGAAGAAAACACCAAAGCUGAGAUAACGCUGACCUCAAAUGCAACACUGUAGGCAAUAAAGAACAAUGGCAUUCGAACAUAAAGCUGUUUCCAAAAUCUACAGUUAUGUAUCGGCCGUACUUGCAUCUUCAGAACUGUUAGAGGGAAAUCACCAACACUUGAUGCCUCUAACCUACUCAUACACGCUAAAUUUCCUUUCUCUUAAUCUUAAGGAAUAACAGAUAAAUAAAAAGAGAAACAGCUUUCUUGCCCAUAGUUUUUUAUUUGAUAUUAGAAAGGAAAAAUAAGCAGCCAAAGCUGUCCCUGAACAUACACCACAGGGAGGAGCUGCACAGAGGGCCCAGCCUUAGUACACAGCUCCUGGUAAGGCCAUUAGCAUGUAACUCAGUAAAACUGAGUAUCUGUGAUUCUUAUCAGCCACCAGUGAUGAGAUGCUUGCUGUGUAUCAGGAAGCCAGAGGCAGCGGUAUAAGUGGAAAAGCCAGAGCCAGACUGCGUGACUCCACUUCUCUGAUUCCCUUUCCUCAUCUGUAAAAUGGGAAUAACUAACAGUACUUAAUUCAUAGAGUGUUAUGAAAAGCAAUCAGGAUAACACAAGUACUUAUAAGAGUGCCUGGCAUUUAGUAAACAUUUCAUAAUUCAUAGAGUGUUAUGAAAAGUAAACAAGAUAACACAAGUACUUAUAAGAGUGCCUGGCAUUUAGUAAACAUUUCAUAUCUAUGAUUUAUUGUUAGGUGCUACUUGCUUUACAUGCACAACCCUAUGUUCUAGGUGCUGUGAUUAAUCUAAUUUUCUAGAUGAGGAAACUGCCUAACAGGGACCAAGAAGCUUGCCAAGGCUACUGUCAUUAUCAAGUAAUAGGGCCAGGCAGACUCCAAAGCCUGGGUUCUUCCUUAUUAUAUUACCUCCCUAGAGCUUACAUUUAAAAGAAACUUUUCAGCAAAAAGGAUUGAAA
rnacentral:lncRNA from 1 species